GGGCCCGCACAAGCGGUGGAGCAUGUGGUUUAAUUCGAUGAUACGCGAGGAACCUUACCAGGGCUUAAAUGUAGGUUGCAUGAUCUAGAGAUAGAUCUUUCUUCGGACUACCUACAAGGUGCUGCAUGGUUGUCGUCAGCUCGUGCCGUGAGGUGUCAGGUUAAGUCCUAUAACGAGCGCAACCCCUGUCGUUAGUUACCAGCAAUUAAAGUUGGGUACUCUAGCGAGACUGCCGGUGCAAACCGUGAGGAAGGUGGGGAUGACGUCAAAUCAUCACGGCCCUUACGUCCUGGGCUACACACGUGCUACAAUGGCCGGUACAGAGAGCAGCCACUACGCGAGUAGGAGCGAAUCUUCAAAGCCGGUCUCAGUUCGGAUCGCAGUCUGCAACUCGACUCUAUGAAGCUGGAAUCGCUAGUAAUCGCGCAU
rnacentral:rRNA from 1 species